UACGGAGGGUGCGAGCGUUGUUCGGAAUCACUGGGCGUAAAGCGCGUGUAGGCGGCCCACUAAGUCUGAUGUGAAAGCCCGGGGCUCACCCCCGGAAGUGCAUUGGAAACUGGUGGACUCGAGUCCCGGAGAGGAGAGUGGAAUUCCUGGUGUAGCGGUGAAAUGCGUAGAUAUCAGGAGGAACACCGGUGGCGAAGGCGGCUCUCUGGACGGUGACUGACGCUGAGGCACGAAAGCGUGGGGAGCAAACAGG
rnacentral:rRNA from 1 species